CCCUUAGAUGCUCUGGGCCGCACGCGCGCUACACUGGUCGAUGCAACGAGUUUCUUUCCUUGGCCGACAGGCCUGGGCAAUCUUUGAACAUCGAUCGUGAUCGGGAUAGAUUCUUGUAAUUUUUGAUCUUAAACGAGGAAUUCCUAGUAAACGCAAGUCAUCAGCUUGCAUUGAUUACGUCCCUGCCCUUUGUACACACCGCCCGUCGCACCUACCGAUUGAAUGGUCCGGUGAAGUCUCCGGACUGGCGUGAGUCGGAGCAAUCUGACAAACGCCGGAAAGUUGAUUAAACCUUACCAUUUAGAGGAAGGUGAAGUCGUAACA
rnacentral:rRNA from 1 species